CAAGCCAAAGAUGAGAGUUGGGUGACACGUGGACGCCAAAGGUGGAUGGACAGUCCUGAAAAGGGCUUGGCAAACCCUCACACCAGAAUGGUGAGGGGCGGGAACUAUACCAUAACUAAAGAUCAGUAGAGAUAAGCAGAAAAUAUCAGAGACCCACGAGGGAGAAAGAAAAGAGUACCAGAGAGACCUGAAUACAGCAUAGAAAGCAGCUCAUCUGGUCGCAUCACCAAGGACAACAGAAGCGUGCUGAAUCAUCUCAGUACUGGAAGUGGCAUCCCAGGCUAAAGCAAAGAGGAAGGGAGGAAGAUCCAUCAGAACCAUCAGUCUUAGAAAGAGAAUGAUGCCAAUGUUUCUGUAGACGAAAAUGAAGGACUGCUUUGACCCCAGGUUCAUGCAGUAAUCACAGCCAAGAUUCCAGGUGGGGUGUUACAGCCAGUUAGACCAGCAAGGAAGCCCUGAGAACCAGGGUGCCUGAAAUUUGAGCCCAAGAAGAUAUUUAGACUUCAACAGACUGUGCUAUAUAAGAAUUAAGCCUAAUGCCUUUCCUCUCCCCAGGUACUGAUGUGGUGGUGUUAGAAAUAAAGUGUCAUUUUCA